AACAUAUUCGAGGUGGUACUAAAUUUUGUCUCUUCGAUUGACCGCUACCUUCUUUCUUGAUCGCUUAGCUGGGCUGCGAUCCAGUUGGGCCUUGGCCCACAGUUUCUUCGAUGCCUACUCUGCUCAAUCCGUAUGGACAUGGCGCCGGUGGCAGCGGCCGGUCUUCUUCUCUGGAUUAAUCUCUUCUCUCGCCAUCCUCUCGAAACCUCGCGCACCUCCCCACCGCUCCCGCCCCGCCCUCUCCUCCAUCCGGUUUCGCCGCCCUGCCUCCUCCUUCCAGCCCUUCGGCCUCCUCCCUGCCCCUCCCCGUCAGCCCCCGUAUCCUGCCCUGCGGCUCGUCCUGGGCUUGUGGCUGCACUUCGAGGUCAUCCUUUCUGGACACGGGUCUAGGCGGAGAUGGCGCUGCUCCUGCAACUUCGAAGAAGGCACCGGGCCAAUCUACCAGACGUCAUCUACAUCCGCAGGUCUUAGCUCCCCAGAAUCCAUCGCUUGUUCUUCUUUGGUCCAAUCUGGACUGUUAAUUCCGUCAAGAGAUUCGCUCACUCAGGCAAAGCGGCUCAUGUGCCGCCGCAUUGGAGUCCAAUUUGAGGAGCCGGUCGCCAACCCCGCGGAUCUCCUCUCCUGCUAUGCUGACUGCUUCAAGAUCCCCUCUCCAUCUCCCAGAUCGACGCCCUGACACAGCUUUCAACUCAUGCCAUUGGGGGUAAGAAGAUUCUGAAGAAUACAAUCGCCUGAGUCUCAGUUCACUGUUUGUCUCAGCCUGUACCCAUGUCGUUUGUGUUUCUUUUAUUAGUGGCAAUUUCCUUGUGUGGAAUGUCAGGGGGCUUAACUCCCCGGCGAGAAGAGCGGCUGUCAGUGUGUUUGUUAGUCAUAAUGAUGUGUGUAUGAUCUGUUUGCAAGAAACCAAAAUGUCCGUGUUUGAUCUUAAUUUGGUGAAGGAGAUUUGUGGUGCUUCUUUCUCGGGAUUUGCCUAUUCCCCAUCUGAUGGAGCAAGUGGAGGGUUGCUAAUAGCCUGGGCAGAUUACGUUGUGGUUUCCUCUAUCCAAUGUUCCAAAAUUUUCAACUCUGCUAUAUGUGAAAGCAGAGCAAACGGGUUAGUUUGGCAGAUGGUUAACGUCUAUGGCCCCCAAUUUUUCUCUGACAAGAUGGACUUUCUUGCUGACCUGCAGCAAAUUGGGAUUAACUGCCCUGGCCCGCUCUUGUUCUUGGCGAUUUUUCAAUAUGAUUGCUGCAGCUAAGGAUAAGAACAAUGGUAAUCUCAACAGGGGUCUGAUACACAUGGAGAAAUGAACAAUUCAACACAAUUCUUGUCAGGCUUAAUUGAUUCCUGUAUAACCAACCGUGGUGUGAGGCUGCACCCAAUGCCAUGUUGCAGGCCCUCUCUGAAGAAGACCGCUACAUUGAAUUUUGACGCUCUUGGUUUUCAACCUUGUAAGCUGCUGGAACUAGAGCGCCCUUCACCGAAGAGGAAAUAAAAUAGGCCGUAUUUGAUAUGCAUCCUGAAAAGGUGCCCGGGCCAGAUGGUUUCACCGGAAUGUGGGAAUUCAUCAUGGGUGUUGUGACGCUCCAUUAUUGCGAUUCGAAGACUCCAUCAUGGGUGUUGUUAUAUAUUAAAAAUAUGAGUGCAGAGGAAACUUACUAUGUGUUGUUGCCCUAUUCUUUUAUAGCUGUGUCUGAUCUCAAGCAGCUCAUCUUGACGAGCCGUGGUAGAGGCGCAGGGAUGAGAUCUCUCUCUCCAACGCUUGAUAAGGUUCGUUUUACACCGAGUAGCUUUAUUUAAGUCAUGGUUAGUCUAUACAACAGCAUUCAAUCAUGUAAAAUUCUGGAAAUUUGGAUUAACAACUCUGCUUACCACCUAAGUUGUUUGAUCUGAUAAAAUCUUGUGUACACCAUAAGUUAGUUAUUUUGCCUAUUGAGAUCUGUUUCAGGACAGGUGGUUCUAGCUUUAUUGCCAGGUUCAUCAUUGCUUGAUUCUGGAUUUUUGCUGUAGCCUUUAGGUUAACUUUAUGUGGUAGGCCUAACACCUAAUUUAUACUGAAGUAAUUUAAAUAAGCUAUAAGGUUUAAGAGAAAUCCUACCAAUAAAGAAAAUAAUCAGGUUGGUCAAGGUGAGGGGAAUGUGCCCCCUCCAGUAUUACAUUACAUCCGAUACUAAUCUAAUUAGAUGCAUGCUCACUAGAAUGCCUCAUUUUUCUUGUAGUUUGCGGGGCUGUAAAUUUAGUAGACAUAGAGACUAAUCCUUGAUAAUAUUCCAGUUCCAGUGAGACUGAACGACCUUUUCAAUAACAUACUGAUUUACAAUAUUGAACUACAACCACUAGCUAGCUGUUGAUUCCAUAAACAAGUGCUAUUCACAGUGACACUGUUUUCGCUUCAUUGCUCACUUUGGACUGCGCUUCAUUGCUCACUUUGGACUACACCAUAAAGUAGACUUGGAUGAAGGUUAAGUGGCAACACUGGUGGGGUGCCGUGUUAAAAUAGAGGGCAUGGAUCUUGGGGGGUCUAUGUUAUUUUCGUGGUUACUACCCGGUAGCCACAAUUACUGACCACUGAUUAAUUCAAAAUUUAAACAUUUCUUACAACACCUGAAUAUGUCCAUCAUUCAGUAUACAUCUAUGACUAGGAACAUAAGAUGCCUUAAUCCACAACCCCAGGCAACACGAACCUCUACAAAGAAUAAUUAGGAGAAAGUGAGAUGUUUGCCCCGUUGCAAUGCACCGACUCUUUUCAUUAGAUGACAUUUUUUGAACCCCCCAAAAAUAUGACAUUUUUAAGAACAUUUCUCUAUUAAGAAAAGACAUGUUUUUAUUAAGCCGGACAAUGUACUAGGUUUAAGAAAAAAAAGUUUUGGGUUUAGGAUAGAAUUGUUCUAGAUUUUGGGAAGAUUGUUACAGAUCCACAAGAAAAUGUCCUAACUUUAGGAAAUUAAUUAUCCAUUUUUGGGUUCUUGGUUAAUAAGCUGGUCACAAUGUUUAUUUUUUAUUUUUUUUAACCCAAUAGAUUCCGGGUCCUUAUGUUUCUCAGACUACAUAUGCCUUGCAUUAACAGUGGACAAUAAGUACACCUGCUACAGUGGAUGUGGUAAUAAAACUAACAAACCCGCAAACCAAACAAUGCAAACAUUUGUUAGCCAUUUUGCAAAGAUGGUUCGGCCGAAAGCAUAAUUCUUCAUGUUGAGAUUAGUUCAUGUGGGUCAUGAGUCAAAAAAUUAUUCGUGUAAUUGGCUAUGGUUACGGGGUGUGAUGAUUUUUUUUCCCGAUGCAACGCACGGACAUUUUUGCUAAGUAAUAAUAAAGCACGGAUUGAGCUGUCGGGUUCACCGUCGCUGAGUUUUUACAGAAAAACCCGUGUAGUUUUUGAUAACUGAACCCGCAGUCCCUAUUUUAGUGAAUCUUGAAAAAUGUUUCGAUUUUGCAUUAAACUCCCUAUAGUUUUGUAUAUUCACCCCGCAGUCCUUCAAAAAACGCAUCACCCUUCAUCAUCCGCACGCAAGAGCGGGCGCACCCCCGCCGGCGGCGGCGCCGCCUUCCUCGUGGAGUCCGCGGCCAAAUUCCACGCCGGGAGUAGCGGUCUCCAUCUCUCCAACUCCUCCCUCUCCCUCGAGCCUCGACCUCCCCGGCAACCUUCCUCCCCUCCCAAGUCUAGGAGACGCAUGGGGGCGGCGGCGGCGAGGCCCCCUCACCAUGGCUAGGGUUUCGGGCGCCUCCAUACUGGCAUGGCUCCGGCGCCUCUGGCGGCUCCUCUCCGACGCCCACCACGCCCCCACACGCAGCUCCUUCUCUAGGAUGAUGCUCCUCCUCCCGGUGGCCAUGGGGGCAAGGAUUGGAUGUUUGAGGAAGGAGGGGCCGACCUUGCCUUGCUGCAGCUCGGGACGCAACACCCAUGGAGCUUCCUCCUUUCUGUCUUCAGGUGUUUGAGGCAUCAACAAGCGACGACAGGGUUCGACAUUGGUUGAGCUAGCUACUGGGGACGCCUCUUUCUCAAUUAUCUCUAUCUCCGUCUCUAUCAUGAUAUUUAGAAGCCAUCUAUUAAUGUCGUCAAUGCCUAAUUCCAAAAUCCCGUCUCGCUCGCUCUCGAUACCCCGUCCCUCUCUAGAGUUACGGGAUGCGCCGCCGCCGCCAGCAUGGUCCCAACGGCCACCGUGAGUCUCCCCGGUCGACGUCCCCAUCCGUCUAUGCUCCGAGCUCGACGGUUCCAGUAAGACAAUAGGCAAUGGUGACAGUGAGGUGACAUUUCGUAGUGCUGUCGAUGUCAAGUAUGUCGAAAAUUGUUGUCUUUUUAUUCCUCAUUUACUUAUUUAUUUCACAUUUACUUAGCCAACUUAUUUUACUACCUGGGGUGUUCUGUAGUUUUGUUUCUAAAACAGAUUGUGUUUUGUUUUGUUCUGGAGUGUUGGUACCGAUGCAUAAAACUACUGCAUCUAAAAUGGCAUGGUAUUAAUAUUUUUAGUUUUAAAAGAAUGCCACUUGCCUUAAGCUCUCAGUAAAUCAAAAUAUGUACUGACGUUAUCUACACUUGAAUAUUGUAUUUUAUCAACACUUGAAUAUGCAUUAUGAUUUAGUGCACAUUCAGCAAAUAGUCAAUGGAUCAGUAUUUUCCGGAAACUUUCUAUUCCAUAUGAAGUUAUGUUUUCAGCUUGAUAUAUUAAUAAUAUGUUUACCAUAUUUCUUGUAAAUGUCUAUUUGAGAACUUUGCAGCUAAAUUGGUGCCUGUAUAUUAUAGAAGACACUUGAAAAUGGAUUCAGCAUGGUUCCUGCAGUCCCAACUUUUCAUUGUUGACUUCACGUCAAAAAACAAUUAUUCAUCAUGGGCAGAGUCAUGGUUGUUCGUGACUAUGCAAGAAGAUGAUCGAGGGUCGGCGGCGUUGCUGCUUCGUCGUCAUCUUUGAUGAGCACCGUCCAACACAAUUUUCCGCUGGCAUGUUCCAUGGAAUGUGACUGCUUUCAUCAUGGCAUCCAACACUUGCAGAUGUGACUCAAAAGGGGGUUCUGAAGCUGAUGAACUUGGAUGGCCUGACAGUCUAACAUACCAACAACCAUCUCCAAAUACACGAACUUGAAGAAUUUCUUAGUUUCAUACACACCUUCAGAAUUUUUUUUCCAGUAAAGAUCAGGGUGCCAGCAGUGUUUCCAUUAUGUUUCAGGAGAAAUUUGGAUCUUUUUGGACAGUUAUUCCAGCCAACUUUCUGAAUGAGUAUAAAAACAACACUAUGAGUACAAAGAGGAGAUAAAAGGAGUAUUGGAAAGCUUAAAACCAGCCCCCCGAAACCACUCUGGCUCGAGAAAGAAGAAAAUAUUUCACAUGAUCUGUCCGAUCUACUACAGGGUAACCAUAUCGGUUAGAUGAAACCAAGAACUUUGGGAUGUACGAGAGCAGUGGUGGCCAGCAGCAAGUAACAGAGGCAACAGUUCUUUUGGUGCAUUGUUAGGAAAGUUCUUCUGAGUGAUUUCAUGUUUCUGCUCUGUCUAUUUGUCACUUGAUAUUCCGAGUGCCCACUAUCAUCUGAAUAUGAAGUAACAUGAAAGUCAGUUUUUUCGAAUGUAUCUUUUUCAAUCUGCUCGGAUUGAUAGCUUACGCGAGUGACAUUUAGAAUGAUAAUUCACAUAUCAUUUUUGUAUUUAAGCUGCCCGUAAAAGAAAAAACAAGCGUUCCUUCGAA